AGGGGGGGGCAAAGCCUGACGCAGCAACGCCGCGUGAGGGACGAAGGCUUUCUGAGUUGUAAACCUCUUUCGACAGGAACGAUUGUGACGGUACCUGUAGAAGAAGCACCGGCCAACUAUGUGCCAGCAGCCGCGGUGAUACAUAGGGUGCAAGCGUUAUUCGGAUUUAUUGGGCGUAAAGAGCUCGUAGGCGGUUCAACAAGUCGGGUGUUAAACCCCCAGGCUCAACCUGGGGCCGCCACCCGAAACUGUUGUGACUAGAGUUUGGUAGGGGAUCACGGAAUUCCUGGUGUAGCGGUGGAAUGCGCAGAUAUCAGGAGGAACACCAGUAGCGAAGGCGGUGAUCUGGGCCAAUACUGACGCUGAGGAGCGAAAGCGUGGGGAGCGAACAGGAUUAGAUACCCUGGUAGUCCACGCCGUAAACGGUGGGCACUAGGUGUGGGGACUUUUCAACGGUUUCCGCGCCGCAGCUAACGCAUUAAGUGCCCCGCCUGGGGAGUACGGUCGCAA
rnacentral:rRNA from 1 species